AGUGUUUAUCAAUGUCGCAUGCUUGCCGGUGUGCUAUUGGUUGACAGCGGUUGACAGUUCGACGUCGACUCAAAUUAUUAUCGCGCACAAAAGUUUUAAAUUACAAAAUUCUCCAUUUACUAUUUAUUUCACUAAAAAACAAUUAUCAGUUUAUCAUUUUAAACACAUAAAAACUAUUAAGAUACGAAUAUCGAGAGUACAGAUAAUAAUUAUUUUUGAAUACGACAUUUCGAUAACUAAAAAAUUUGUUAUUGCUUUUGUUUAAAAAAAAAUUGUGAUUUUGUAAAGUGAUAAUUAUUAUACUUAUUUAGUCCGAAUUAUUCGCACUUGUAUUUCUAGUAUUUUUUAAUGUACCUACCAAUAACCAUUAUACGAAGCUGCGAGUGAAAGCCUAAUUAAAAAAUAAAACAGUAGUACUUGUGCGCGAGUAUACCCAUGCGCAAACGCACCCCCUCCAGUUUCUUUCAGCGUUCUUUUUACAUGACGCGAACUAUACGUCGGCUUAAUGGUAUACGGCAUGACGAUCGAUGGCAGUGACGUACAGCGGCUUUGACGCGAACGAAAAGUUAUGGUAUCGUAUCGUACUAAUAAUCUCUUACGAUUGAAUUUGGGCUUAGUUUCAUGACCUGUGUAUAAGACCGUGUCCCAAACCUUUCGUGGCAUGUUUGUCUAAAUGUCAUAGGUUAUUUUUUGACUGUUAUUUUUUUUUUUAAUACAAUAUUUUCUAAUGUUAAUAAAUAAACUAUUUACUUAAUAUUGACUUUUAAUAUGUGAUAAUUUAAAUUUCCUG
rnacentral:misc_RNA from 1 species